rnacentral:sRNA from 1 species
CCGGGGCAGCCGAGGGCCCCUGACUCGGCUCCUCGCGGCGACAUGGAUCGGAUGGCCAGCUCCAUGAAGCAGGUGCCCAACCCGCUGCCCAAGGUGCUGAGCCGGCGCGGGGUCGGCGCUGGGCUGGAGGCGGCGGAGCGCGAGAGCUUCGAGCGGACUCAGGGUCGCUCUUGGUCUAGCCUUGCCUCCCACAUACCCAGUCUAGAGCCUGGCCGCAUGCCCAUCAAAAGACUCUCACUGCUCUGCCUGCCUUCUUCUGUCCUGGCAUCUAUACCCUCAGACCAGCCUUGCAUCCCUACCCCUGCCAGCCUCCUCCAGGAAGCCUUGCCUCUUCAACUCUCCUGCACCAUCCUCACAUUUCACCCGGCCACUGUCACUGCCAGAGUAGGCACCACUCACCUGUCUGAUGGCCCAGCCACUGUGCCCAUCUCCAACCAGACCCUUGGUGUGUUCCCUACCCAGUCCAUCACAAGCCACCUUCAAGCUUUAGGGAAGUGAAAA